AAUAUUUGACAAUGGGCGCAAGCCCGAUCCAGCCAUACCGCGUGGGUGAAGAAAGCCUUCGGGUGGUAAAGCCCUUUUGUUGGGAAAGAAAUCCAGCUGGCUAAUAACCGGUUUGGAUUACGGUACCGAAAGAAUAAGCACCUGCUAACUGCCGGCCAGCAGCCGCGGUAAUACGAAGGGUGCAAGCGUUACUCGGAAUUACUGGGCGUAAAGCGUGCGUAGGUGGUCGUUUAAGUCCGUUGUGAAAGCCCUGGGCUCAACCUGGGAACUGCAGUGGAUACUGGGCGACUAGAAUGUGGUAGAGGGUAGCGGAAUUCCUGGUGUAGCAGUGAAAUGCGUAGAGAUCAGGAGGAACAUCCAUGGCGAAGGCAGCUACCUGGACCAACAUUGACACUGAGGCACGAAAGCGUGGGGAGCAAAC
rnacentral:rRNA from 1 species